AGUUUCUUUAUAACAGUUUAUUAUACUUGGAUAUUUUUUAAAUCAUAGAAGAGUUGGAAUACAAGUACAAGGAAAACUCCCCAGUGUUCACUACCAAAAUGUGCCAGCUGUUUUCAUUUGUUCCAUUUGUUUAAUACUCUCGAACCAAAUUCACCUACUAUUUACGUUUUGCUCCAUUUUUGAAUCAUUCUCUCUGUAAAUAUAAACAUAAUGGAUUUUUUUCCUAAACCAUUUGAGACGCUGGAGACACCUAAACACUUUGCUGUGUAUUUACUCUUAGGAACCACACCGUAGAAUGGUCAAAAUCCGGACCCAGCCCACACUCCAGAUUUAACUCGCUUCAAAUGUCUUUUAUACCUUUUUUUCCCUGUUGAGGAUUCAGUCUAGGAUGACGCACUGCAUUUGUUGUUGUGUUUCUUGUUUUGUUUUGUUUUUUUCUGUUUUUGAGACGGAGUUUUGCUCCGUCGCCCAGUCUGGAGUACAAAGGUGCGAUCUCGGCUGACCGCAACCUCUGCCUACCCGGUUCAAGUGAUUCUCCUGCCUCAGCCUCCCGAGUAUCUGGGAUUACAGGCGCACACCGCCACUCCCAGCUAAUUUUUGUAUUUUUAGUAGAGACGGGAUUUCACAAUGUUGGCCAGGCUGGUCUCGAACUCCCGACCUUAAAUGACCAGGCUGACCAACAUGGUCAGCUACUCAGGAGGCUGAGGCAGGAGAAUCGCUUGAACCCGGGAGGCAGAGUUUGCGGUGAGCCGAGAUCCCGCCAUUCAUUGCACUCCAGCCUCGGAAACUAGCAAAACUCCAUCUUAAAAAAAAAGAGGAGGCCGGGUGCAGUGGCUCUGCACAACACUUUGGGAGGCCGAGGCAGGUGGAUCACCUGAGGUCAGAAAUCCGAGACCAGCCUGGCCAACAUGGUGGAACCCCAUCUCUACUAAAAAUGCAAAAAGUAGCCGGGCGUGGUAGCGGGCCCCAGUAAUCCCAGCUGAGGUGGGAGAAUUGCUUGAACCCGGGAGGCCAAGGCUGCAGUGAGCCAAGAUCGCACCACUGCACUCUAGCGUGGGUGACAGAUCAAGACCUUGUCUCAAAAAACAAGAAGAAGAAAAACUACUUUUUUUUUUUCAGAUGGGGUCUCACUCUCACCCAGUCUGGAGUGCAGUGGCGCCAUCUCAGCUCAUUGCAGCCUCUGCCUCCUGGGCUUGAGUGAUCUUCCCACCUCGACCUCCUGAGUAGCUGAACCACAAGUGCAUGCCUGGCCAAUUUUUGUAUUUUUGGUAGAAAUGGAGUUUCACCAUGUUGCCCAGGCUGGUCUCAAAACUGGCCUCCCAAAGUGCUGGGAUUACAGACACAACUGGCCUACCUGCAGGAUUUUCAGUUUAUGGACAUGACUGACUGGAGACAUGGAGAAGCUGUUGUUAUUGGAGAUUUUUAUUACUCGCAUUUCCUGAGCGAUGGGGACACUCACUGUGGGGAAAAGCAAGAGAGAUCAGAUUGUUACUGUGUCUGUGUAGAAAGAAGUAGACAUAGGAGACUCCAUUUUGUUCUGUACUAAGAAAAAUUCUUCUGCCUUGGGAUCCUGUUGAUCUGUGACCUUACCCCCAACCCCGUGCUCUCUGAAACAUGUGCUACGUCCACUCAGGGUUAAAUGGAUUAAGGGCGGUGCAAGAUGUGCUUUGUUAAACAGAUGCUUGAAGGCAGCACGCUCCUUAAGAGUCAUCACCACUCCCUAAUCUCAAGUACCCAGGGACACAGAAACUGCGGAAGGCCGCAGGGUCCUCUGCCUAGGAAAGCCAGGUAUUGUCCAAGGUUUCUCCCCAUGUGAUAGUCUGAAAUAUGGCCUCGUGGGAAGGGAAAGACCUGACCGUCCCCCAGCCCGACACCCGUAAAGGGUCUGUGCUGAGGAGGAUUAGUAUAAGAGGAAGGAAUGCCUCUUGCAGUUGAGACAAGAGGAAGGCAUCUGUCUCCUGCCUGUCCCUGGGCAAUGGAAUGUCUCAGUAUAAAACCCGAUUGUAUGUUCCAUCUACUGAGAUGGGGAAAAACCGCCUUAGGGCUGGAGGUGGGACCCGCGGGCAGCAAUACUGCUUUGUAAAGCAUUGAGAUGUUUAUGUGUAUGCAUAUCUAAAGCACAGCACUUAAUCCUUUACAUUGUCUAUGAUGCAAAGACCUUUGUUCACGUGUUUGUCUGCUGACCCUCUCCCCACAAUUGUCUUGUGACCGUGACACAUCCCCCUCUUUGAGAAACACCCACAAAUGAUCAAUAAAUACUAAGGGAACGCAGAGGCUGGCGGGAUCCUCCAUGUGCUGAACGCUGGUUCCCCGGGUCCCCUUAUUUCUUUCUCUAUA
rnacentral:lncRNA from 1 species